UACGUAGGGAGCAAGCGUUGUCCGGAAUCAUUGGGCGUAAAGCGCGCGUAGGUGGCUUCGUAAGUCCGUUGUGAAAGUCAAAGGCUCAACCUUUGAAAGCCGAUGGAUACUGUGAAGCUAGAGUACGGAAGAGGCGAGUGGAAUUCCUGGUGUAGCGGUGGAAUGCGCAGAUAUCUGGAGGAACAUCGGUGGCGAAGGCGGCUACCUGGACGGGUACUGACGCUGAUGCGCGAAAGCUAGGGGAGCAAACAGG
rnacentral:rRNA from 1 species